UUCCCAGAUACCAUGAAGUAUGUGGAAGUGUUGGCAUCCUGUUGUAUAUCUCUCAGAUUGACACUUAAAAUAUGGCUCAAGUAUCCAGUAUCAGCUGAACUUUGGCUAGUAACUACCUUUCUGAUACAGAGGGCCAUAAAUUUACCUAGGAAGCAAGUCAAUAAUGAGUGCAUAUAUAAGAUUAGGACUUUGCCCGUUUUUUUAGAAUGUUGUACACUAGAGAUAUGAUUGUGAGCAAGAUACAGUGCCCAAAGGAGCCUUCUUCUUCAUUCUGAAGAAAUUAACAAAUAAAAGGCCAAUUCAGUGCAAUUUGAGAAAUGCUACAAAGAGAGGAGGGUGCUAUGGAAACACAUCUGGAAGGGCACUUAACCUGAGCAAGAGAAGGGAAGCUCAUGAAAGAGUUCAUGAAAAAAGUGAUAUCUAACCCCACGCUUAAAAACAGAAAUAGAUUCUUCCUUUUACAUCGUUGCACUGCUGAGAGCAAGAUUGGUCAUCAGCAGCUGUACUGGAGCCACCCGCGUACAUUCGGCCAGGGUUCUCGCUGUUGUCGCGUCUGUUCAAACCCGCACGGUCUGAUCCGGAAAUACGGCCUCAAUGUGCUGCCAGUGUUUCCGUCAGUACGCGAAGGAUAUCGGUUUCAUUAAGUUGGACUAAACGAUCUUCCUUCAAAGGAUUAUCCAAGGCAUCUACUCAAUGAAAAACCAUGAUAGUUCUUUGUACAUAAAAUAAACAUUUGAAAAAAAAAACAAAA